rnacentral:lncRNA from 11 species
GACCUAACUUAGAUGAAAAAUCAGAAAAAAGCUGUAAGCGAUCAUUAUGUGAAACGAAAUGGUUUAGACGGUGGUUCAAGAUGACGAUAUCGGAAGAAACGUAUUUCGGAUGUUGUUGGGAUUGUAUUGUGUGAUGUGACUGUGAGCGAACGUAUAUACCGAAGUCGUUUUACAUAUUACACUCCGCGAUAAAGGGCUUUCUCUUUUCGAGCCAGUCUUCCUUCUUCCCGGUUCCUAUCAGUCCUCUUAUCGUCAUCUACUGCCAGCAAUCAUCGCCGAGAGCUACAGGACUACAAGCAGAUCGGCGUAGAAGAAGCAUCGACAUGGAAGCGUGGUCUUCGCAAACGUCACUGCUGGGUUUAGAGCACAGUUUAUUUGUUGGAGGCAGAAAGCGAGGCAAUGAGAGAGAACUCGAUGCACACUGUCUUAGAGAGAUGGAGUAGUUGGAAAACGGUGGGUCGUUCAGAUAACAGCUGCUGCUUGUGUAGUGCACGCAUUCACGCAUUAUUAGGUAUUAUUGUUUAGUGUUUGUGCCGUCAGAGGUCGUUCAAUUGGUUGACAGACACGUCCGUACAGAGAAAUAUAGCGCAGAAACCGCGUUUGUUCAAGUAGAGCUCGAAUAGAGAACUGUAAGAUUCUUCUAUAUCAGAAGUUGGAAAGUUCUGAUAUUGAGGUACAUGCUUUUCUAAUAUUGAUCCAUUUAUAGAAUGUCGUACGUAAGAGGUGAUUUGCAGUUAGAAAAAAAUCGUAACGCUUUUGGCUCUGCGUAAAGGUGCUGGUGAGGUUUAUCUUUGGUGAGUUCUUAUCUUAUGACAUAUCUGAUAACGGAACAGACUCAAACUCUAACACUGAAUAGUAAUACUGGAUGUGACUAGACUGUAACAGUGACUGAGCAUAUCGGGAAUCUCAGUCUCUUUCCUAAUCAAGUAAUUAGUGGUGACGUAUCUAAUUAUGAACAUACAAUAAUAUAUUAUAGUCGGACAAAGAACGUUCAUUUUCACUGGUUUGUAUGGUAAUAAUUAGUGUGCAAUUUAAUCUUUAUGUGCUUAUAUUUCUGGGCGUACAGAUACGUGCCGUUCUUAUGUGUAAGCGGGCUUUUUCAAACUAUAUAUCCUUUCCUAUCUAUCGUAAUAGCGAAACUGAAUCCUAGGUUCGCUCUUGGUCUUGUCGUAGCUAUGAUACCGAGUUAUCAGUGGCCGUUUGUUUCGUAUGUCCAAAACGUUCGCUAUCAAGUGUCAAGAACAUAACAGAAUGCGUGUUGCUAAUACGUCCGUACGCCAAUAUGCGUGUUCCUAACGUUUUUGCCUUUUUCUUUUUUUGUCUACACCGUUUUCACGGGUUAUGAUAAGAAAGUUGUGCCGUCUCGUACACAAAUGCAUGUUACACGCGAUAGCAGAGAUAGGCUAUUUUAUAGAUAAUGUUAACAAAAGCUAGAUAAUAACACUGUCUGUUGACUAGUCCUUCACGGUUCUGUCGAAUGUUUGCUUUUAUCGUGAGCUAUAUUGUAUCUUGUAUUUAUUCAUCAUACGAUUCUAUCGUGUCCUCGAAACGCUAUUGAUGUAACGUUGAAAAUGUCGCGGCGUUUGUAACGUUUGCCAGUAUAGUCUAGUACUAUUCAGAUCUACUGACUGGUCUGGAUAGGCAUGUAAGUGUCGCGUUCCCCUCAGUAUUUGCGAACAUAUGUCGUUGUUCUACUAUCGUCGCCGUCGUCGCUGCCUAACCUCACGAUUUUUUUGCUCGCUGGUCGGUACUGUUAGGCUGCUGUAUCAGUUUAUUCGACGCUAUUGUGGUUAUACAUACAGACAUUUGUAUGUGACCGUUCUAUGGGAGUGUAGUUUUUAACGGGUCUCCUUUUUUUUUUUUUCGGUAAUUUAUUUGAUACAUGUAUGUUCUAUAUUGCAAAUGUAAGGUGAACGCAAAUAAGGAAAAUAGUCCGUGAGAUAAUGCCGUCCCUGUAAUAGACGACGUGUAUUUGUUGACAGUAUCCAUGUGAGAUGGAAUCAUAUCUUUUUAUUGGUUGUACAGUCAUUGAAAUGUACUUUUCGCUGUACUUUCGACUUUAGAUGAAAAGCACCUAAAGUCGUGUCGUGCCGGUGCUGCUUUAUUGCCGUUGCUUUUCAUGUCGUAUUUUUGAGUGUCUUCUUUGGUUGGUCAUCAUUUUCGUUGCUGCUAUCGCUGUUGGUACAAUUAUUUAGGCUUUUUUAAACACCUACACACUUGGCCUUAAUAGGUUACUUUCUUUCGUUAUUUUAGAUAAAGGCGGCCGUUUGUUCUGUCCCACAAAGACCUAUCAGAUAUCACUGACUAUACGGACUGAAUUCGGUCAAAUCUACUGGUGUAUUGUGGAGCGUUGAGUAAACACCUAUUCAUAAACAUCAAAAAUUGUCUGAGGACGGGCAAAAAUGGGCUUUUGAACGGCGGUAUUCCGUUGACGGUGCCGUUGAAGAUGUCCGUGUAGUAGUAAUAACGGAAGACUGUAGUAAACUACAGUCGUUCCUGUGGAAGAUCUGUGAUGCUUUUGGGCUUAGCUUUCUUGCUCGGUUCGCAUGUAGUAUUGUUGUUGUUAUUACUACUAUGAUGCUGUCCAGUUACAUUGUAACAGUCAUUUAGCUGGAAGAGGUUUGUUUGACACGUUCGACUACUUUUAUUCGUGGGUUGCAGUGUCUGAGGCACAAACAUUGUCCUUGUUAUUGCCGUCGUCAUGCCAAGGAUCGAUACGAGAAGUGUCGACAAGUUGUUUUCGAUGGAUGGGCAUAGAAUACAAUAUGUAGAAGUUUAGCUUCUUUGCUGCAUGUAGUUCUUGUAUGUAAUCGUUUUUGUUUUUGAUGUUUGGUGUAGACGUUCAACAGUCUUCGGGUUGAUGUUGCACUUGUUGUUUUUAGUAAAUCUGUUGCUGUUGCAGCCAAAGACGAUAAAAUCUUCGGAAAUUUGCUGCUAUAUUUUAUACGCAGUGGCUGUGUCGUUGUUGUUAUUGUGGUUCACGUUCCGCGGUGAUUUUGUAUUCGUUCUGUGAUCAUUAUAUUUUCCAGUUACUUCAGUUUUACGCAGACACAUUAUGUGCACGUAUCGCUCCUAGAUAGAAAAAAAACGUACGUAUCUUUAUAUAUAGUACUGCUAUAUUUUGGCGAUUAUUUGCAGGCGUCAAGAUUUAUCAGCGACCUACUGAUUUUUUGAUGUAUGCGCGACCAAUAGUUAGUAUCAGUCAAUGCAGACGCCGUUUUAGGGUACUGAGAGAAGAGGAGCGUCGUACAAAUAUAUAUAUCUUAUCGUAAUGGGUUGAAGUCAUUGUAUUUCGCCGGUAGGGGUCGUAGUUGUUUAGCUUGUAACUGUGGUGGAUAAUCACGUGUCGCCGAGGCCCUACUAGUAAGCGCUUUUGAUGCAUUAGGCACUUCAAUCAAAUCAGCCUCUCACUUUCAACAGUAUUUCCUGAAUAGGUGAAUAUGUCACCUAGGCUAUAAGCAUAUAUUAGUCAAUAUACCUCUAUAUUUAACUAGGCGUGUCGUUGCCGAAUAGAUGAUAUUUUUUGGGUAUUUCUUUAGCUUAAUCAUUACGUUAAGGCUAGAAUGGCAACGUUUGGUACCUACGGGUAAUAUAGCUAGCCGGCUUAAUGUUUAUCGGUCUCUAUAGAACGUUCGAUCCAGGACGAUUGGUCUGCUAUAUAUAAAAGCGUAUAUACUCUAAAAGCUUUCGUAUGAUCAGCUGACAAAGAGCCGUGUUUCGACAAGUUUGCGGUCCAAUCCCCAUUCGGUGGGACCGCGGCGUAUGCACUAGUGCGUACUGAUUUGUUGUAGUUGACGUAUAAACAUUCCGUGCCUCGGUGGCAGCUGUUGCAAAUUGGGGUUAUGUAGUGCAGUAGUCACUACGUGACCUUUUACCCCCGCGUUCCCCCGAAGGAAACGUUAUGUGGAGAACGCUGAUAGGUAGAUUCGGUCAGAUGUUCACGUAGAAAGAGCUCUAGGAAAGAAACUGUUGGUCUUUGACCGCGAUCUGUGAUCAAGCUUAGUUUCGUUGCUUGCAAUUGCAUUUUGAAAUUUUUACAGUUGCAGUUGCUUUAACUUGAAGGAAAUAGCUGAAAGAUGGCCUCGGCAAAACACAGAGGGAAAAAAUUUGCCAUUUCAGAAACAGAUUCAUUUACGCGAGUUCAUCGAUGUUGUUUUGCGUAAUACGUGCGUUAACGUUUUACACUCGCAUCUUGUAGAUAGCCUUUGAAGGCUUUCUGCUGUGGAUAACAUAUAAUUAAAAGAUCGAUUGAUCGAGAUAGUUGAAUAAUUACAAAGAUGACAAAACGUACAUGUAAAAUGAGUGUGCUUGUUGUUCGCGUAUGAUACAUCGUAUCGCAAAACUGUACCCCAAAACAGAUGGCUGUCUCAAGCGUGUCCACGUUUUUCGGUGGCAGCACCAAAGAACGUUUCCAAGCCAUCGUUUAUCCUCUCGAUGGGGGUUUUGCUUCUGCUGGGACGCUUUAAACAGCAGCACAAUCGUUGCUUCUGACGAGCUGUCGUUUUGUCACGUAUGGACGUUACGUCUGUUAAUUGCCUUUUCGUUCUAUACUGUUAUCGUCUUUUUCCUUUGUUUGAAUAUCGAUAUUAUUCCCAACGCUGUGAUUUUUAGAGUCGUACACGCGUUUUUGCUGUACUUCGUUGUAGACUUAGUACGUGAAGGUACAGGUUAGUCUGGGUAAACGGUUGGGGUCACGGGAUGUGACUUGAGCUACAGUACUAUAGCUGAGUUUAGGGCUGGGCUGUUGGGUAUUCUCAGUGUAUUCAGAACGCUCCUGCUAUAUUCCUUUUCUGUUUAUUACAAUAGUUAUUCAUAGUUAGUUUUGAGUCCGUUAUUGAAUACACGCGUACUAAAGGAUAAUAGCAGCUGGUGGCCAGCAAAGAUGGUGUACGCUUUUAGCUAGACUGUGGUGGAGAGUUGAAUGGUUUUUACGGGCUGAGCUGAGCUGGAGUUAGUUGGUAUCUGAAGCACAGAAGCUGGUCGCAAGGCUUGUUGUGGCCUAGGUUAUUGUGGUUGUAUUCAAUCAGCUGCGUAGCAUCAUAAUAGACGUACUGGAACGUAUGAAUGAUUAAAUAGAUGGAGGGUGGAUUAAUGGUGGAUGGUAGGGUAAUUGGGCAAGAGACUGGGUUCCUGGGCGUAUGGUCUUAGGUUGAGAGGAUGUUUCUUGGAUGACGGGUAUCUGGUAGAAGGGCAUUUGGUAAUCGGGACUUGGUCUUCGAUCAAAGUUAGAUUGUACAAAAAUUAUGGUAAAAAAAUACAACUUGAUCUGCGCUAAAAUGGGACCUCGGGAUGCGAUCGGAUAGAUUGUUUUGGUUGGGGGCUACAGCAAAACAGGGAUGAAAUAGCAUAAAUAGGCUGUCAGAGUUGUAUAGAUACCUUGAUUUGCUUCUGCUUUUUAUAGUUGGUACUUCUCGACAAAGGGAACACAACCCUUAUGUACUUUGAGUACUAGGAGAAAUUAUCAGGCUUAUUGGGGUCCUCUUGCUCCUAACACAUGUUGCGGCUUGUGCGUCCCCACAAUGAAAAUGAUAGAUUGAUGACAUUUGUUUAUCAAGCAUCCAUCAUACCCGUUUUUACCCGACUAAAAUUGAUGUCACUAAGUUCUGUGCUGUAAAGUCAAUAGGCACGACUUGGACUACAACGCAGUUUGAAUCUUGACUACAAAAAGCAUGAGUUAGCACCAGAAAUGUGUUUGAAUAGUAAACCUAUCUUAAUUAGACGCACACCGGACAGAUUCUAAGGAUUCAUGUUAGAGUUAGUUAUCUCUACAACUGUAGGAACACACGGGACUACCUGAACAGCGGUAGACUACUAUCGAUUAUUUACAUUGAGCUAAAACGAAAGGUUGCCCUGUAGUUUUUUUUUUAUCUGUCUUUAUCGAAGUAGGCUUUGUUCAAAAUUAUCUUCAAUUGAUGAAAGUUUUACCGUGGUCCACUGAAGUACUUUCGUUCUGUGUUUUUGUUUUUUUUUUCUGAACAGAGCCUAAUUUACUGAUCUCUAUUAAGUUCCAGUGAUGUCGGGUGUCCUCAGUUACAUGACUUCGAGAUGCUGUAGUCGUCGCCGGUGGGAUGAAACUUGCGCAGGUUUAUGUUGUAUGAUCAUUGUCGAUAUUUCUGACACUGACGUUAUUACCGCUUCAACCUGUGUUCUGCCCCUCGUUGUUGUUGGUCGUCACUGAAAAACUGAGGUCGUUCUCCGUACAACGCUUCGACAGAGAUAGGCUGCAACAGAAUCAUCUCUUGUGCUAACGCGUUGCUUGACGAAAACUACGUGUUCUCCCAUUAGCACCCGCGAAUUUCAAAUGAUGGGUGGCCUUCAGAAAGCGAGCGAGCGGGCGGGCGCCUCAGAAGGCAGACGAGCACGACACAAUGUACAAGCAGAGAAACGGUUGCGUCGCCGCCGUCGCCGACGUCAUCCGCGAGGCCCUCCAGUUUGCCAUCAACUUCAUCCCCGUCGUCGCCGGAGGACUUAUCCUUAGAUGCGGCCAGGCUUACAGGCGUCGCGUCUUUGUUCACAAAGGCGUGAGUUCACCCAUAAGGGCAGCAACGGCCGAAGAACGUCACAACGAAAAAGAACAACGACAGGAUAGAGCAGUUAGAUAACAUAUACGAUAGUAAAAACAAAGUUUGAGAUAAACAGUGGAAAAUGCAGCCACGCAUCUAAAUCGCUAUACCGAUGGGUGGAGAAAAAGUAGAACUCUAGAAUAUUAAUGAUGCUAAUGAAUAAAUACAUACAACUGAAGGGAAC